rnacentral:rRNA from 1 species
AACGAACGCUGGCGGCAGGCUUAACAGAUGCAAGUCGAGCGCCCCGAAAGGGGAGCGGCAGACGGGUGAGUAACGCGUGGGAACGUACCCUUUGCUACGGAAUAGCUCCGGGAAACUGGAAUUAAUACCGUAUGUGCCCUACGGGGGAAAGAUUUAUCGGCAAAGGAUCGGCCCGCGUUGGAUUAGCUAGUUGGUGGGGUGAUGGCCUACCAAGGCGACGAUCCAUAGCUGGUAGGAGAGGAUGAUCAGCCACAUUGGGGCUGGAACACGGCCCAAACUCCUGCGGGAGGCAGCAGUGAGGAAUAUUGGACAAUGGGCGCAAGCCUGAUCCAGCCAUGCUGCGUGAUUGAUGAAGGCCUUAGGGUUGUAAAGCUCUUUCUCCGGAGAAGAUAAUGACGGUAUCCGGAGAAGAAGCCCCGGCUAACUUCGUGCCAGCCGCCGCCGUAACAC